AUUGAACGCUGGCGGCAGGCCUAACACAUGCAAGUCGAGCGAGCGGCGGACGGGUGAGUAAUGUCUGGGAAACUGCCUGAUGGAGGGGGAUAACUACUGUAAACGGUAGCUAAUACCGCAUACCAUCAGAUGUGCCCAGAUGGGAUUAGCUAGUAGGUGGGGUAACGGCUCACCUAGGCGACGAUCCCUAGCUGGUCUGAGAGGAUGACCAGCAACACUGGAACUGAGAGAGGGUCCAGACUCCUACGGGAGGCAGCAGUGGGGAAUAUUGCACAAUGGGCGAAAGCCUGAUGCAGCAAGGCCGCGUGUAUGAAGAAGGCCUUCGGGUUGUAAAGUACUUUCAGCGAGGAGGCGUUACUCGCAGAAGAAGCACCGGCUAACUCCGUGCCAGCAGCCGCGGUAAUUC
rnacentral:rRNA from 1 species